GAUGAACGCUGGCGGCGUGCCUAAUACAUGCAAGUCGAGCGAACAGACGAGGAGCUUGCUCCUCUGACGUUAGCGGCGGACGGGUGAGUAACACGUGGAUAACCUACCUAUAAGACUGGGAUAACUUCGGGAAACCGGAGCUAAUACCGGAUAAUAUAUUGAACCGCAUGGUUCAAUAGUGAAAGACGGUUUUGCUGUCACUUUUAGAUGAGUCCGCGCCGCAUUAGCUAGUUGGUAAGGUAACGGCUUACCAAGGCAACGAUGCGUAGCCGACCUGAGAGGGUGGAAGGCAACAUUGGGAAUGAGAUAAGGGCCAGACGGCUACGGGAGGCAGCAGUGGGGAAGAUUGCACAAUGGGAGCAAGCCUGAUGCAGCGAAGCAGAGUGGGGGAUGACGGACUUCGGGUUGUAAACGCAGUUCGCUAGGGACGAAGCUUUUUGUGACGGUACCUAGAGAAGAAGCACCGGCUAACUACGUG
rnacentral:rRNA from 1 species